rnacentral:miRNA from 1 species
UGUUGCAGUUCGUCAUCAACCUGUG